UACGGAGGGUGCGAGCGUUAUCCGGAUUUAUUGGGUUUAAAGGGUGCGUAGGCGGAUCGUUAAGUCAGUGGUCAAAUUGAGGGGCUCAACCCCUUCCCGCCAUUGAAACUGGCGAUCUUGAGUGGAAGAGAAGUAUGCGGAAUGCGUGGUGUAGCGGUGAAAUGCAUAGAUAUCACGCAGAACCCCGAUUGCGAAGGCAGCAUGCCGGCUUCCUACUGACGCUGAGGCACGAAAGCGUGGGGAUCGAACAGG
rnacentral:rRNA from 1 species